CCUACGGGACGCACCAGUAGGGAAUCUUCGGCAAUGGACGAAAGUCUGACCGAGCAACGCCGCGUGAGUGAAGAAGGUUUUCGGAUCGUAAAACUCUGUUGUUUGAGAAGAACAAGGACGUUAGUAACUGAACGUCCCCUGACGGUAUCUAACCAGAAAGCCACGGCUAACUACGUGCCAGCAGCCGCGGUAAUACGUAGGUGGCAAGCGUUGUCCGGAUUUAUUGGGCGUAAAGCGAGCGCAGGCGGUUUCUUAAGUCUGAUGUGAAAGCCCCCGGCUCAACCGGGGAGGGUCAUUGGAAACUGGGAGACUUGAGUACGGAAGAGGAGAGUGGAAUUCCAUGUGUAGCGGUGAAAUGCGUAGAUAUAUGGAGGAACACCAGUGGCGAAGGCGGCUCUCUGGUCUGUAACUGACGCUGAGGCUCGAAAGCGUGGGGAGCAAACAGGAUUAGAUACCCGCGUAGUC
rnacentral:rRNA from 1 species